UAAAAGCUGCCUCCCCUUCUUUGGAUCUGGUGCCAGGGACGAGUAAAUGGCCACUGCCUGUUGACUGAAGUGUUCUUGCUGGGGUGUAAGUGAUGAGCAUAUCUGUGAUGAACUGAGCUGCUUUAUAAACCAGGAGCAGUAUUUUCAAAUUGAUUCUUGUUCUAACAGGAACCAGUGCAAAGAUUUAAGAUUCAUUUUUCUGAGUCUGAUUUUAGGGAACUAAUGUUUUGUCUGAUAGUGAUGAUUUUGUUGUUAAAGAAAGAAGCACAUUAAUCACAUUUUUCUGAGGACAACAUUUCGGAGGGAAUGGUGGAUGGUGGGUUAACAAGUCUGUCAACAGUGGAGAAAAGCACUUUACUAUUAUUAAUGUUUUCAUUGAUAAUUUUAGAAAAGGACGAUCGUCUAGCUUGUUUGAUUGCUUUGUUAUAGUCGCUUCCAUUUUUACCCAGCCAGGUUUCAGUUAGUAGAGUGAAGUCUCCACUGUGGGUACUAAUGAGUUCAUUCAUUAAAAAUGAUUCAUUUGUAAGUGACCUGACAUUUAUUAGAGACAUUUUUAUUUCCUUUAUUUCCUCUGAGCCAGAUGUGGAGUUGUCUGAGUCGGCUGAAUUUUACAGUGGAGACUGACGGACGUUGAGAGAGCAGCUGUGGGACCACGUCAUUGAUGCCCUGAACGAGCACCUGGGUGGCAGGAAGUGCUGCAUCUGAUCUCCACGUGUCGGACCAUAGAAGUUCCAACAACAGAACAUUGGGAGGGGACACGGCCUCCACCCUCACAGACCACAGUGAACAUCAGGAGGAGACACGGCCAUGAUGGUUUCACCCAAACAACAGGAACUAGACAACAACAACAGCCUAUAAAACAUCAGGAGGAGACACGGCCAUGAUGGUUUCUAAGACUUCACCUGAAGAACAGGAACUUCUCAAGAACACCCUGAAGGAGGAGACGUGGCCAUGAUGGUUUCCAGGACUUCACGUGAAGAGGAGGAUCUUCACGCUACAGAAACCACGGGGAGGACACGGCCCCCCCCGCGCCUGCUACCACAGGACCCACUCCGAUGAUCCAGGCCCCCGACAACAGGUGGGAUUCGAACCAAUCUCCUGCGACUUCCAGCCGCGGUUGAACCACCACACGC